rnacentral:lncRNA from 1 species
CUCCAAGCUGCUAUAGUAAACACAAAUUUUUGUGUUUUUUUUUUUUUUUAAUUACAAGCUUACGGAACUCAAACGUAUUCUACGUCAGCAUUCUAUUACGCGUGGACAACCUAUUCAAUAGAUGGAAGGCAAGAUUUCAAUUUCCCAUGUGCUGACUGCUGCGAUUAGCAGGGUGUUUCAGCAAGAAAAGUUGGAAGGGGCAGAUCGCCCCAAGAAAAGUGCCUAG